rnacentral:lncRNA from 1 species
UGUAGCUCCUUUAAAUAAAAUAUGCACAAAUCCAAUUAAAUAAAUACUUGGGCAGCCCAUGAUUUAAAAUAAUCAAAGGCCCAACUUAAUAAAAGAAAAUGCUAGAAAUACCAGCCCAAAAUUAAGAAAUAACUCAGCCCAUUUAAUUAAAAAUCUCGGCCCAAGUACUCAUAAAAUCGUCCCAUAACUAAAUUAAAUAAACUGAGCCCAUUACUGACUUGGCCCAAAGACUCAAGCCCAACUGAAAAAAAUAAAUAAAAAAAUGAAAAAAAACGGCCCAACUCGGCCCAAAUUCUAACAAAAUUUUCAGCCCAACACUAAUUAAAAACCCGGCCCAAAUUUAAAGCCCAACCCCUAACCCAAACCUAAAGCCCAACACCCCCACCACCCUUUUUCUUCCUCCCCAGCCGCACACACACACACAUACUAUCACAUCUCACUCUCUUCUCCCUCGCUCGGCUCCCUCUUCUUCGGCUGGUAACAGCCGCCCACCGUGGAGCUCGCCGGAGGAGCAGCAGCGACGAGCUGCCGCCACCAGCUCUCUCCUCUCAAACUCCGAUCCUCCCUCUGGAACUCCGGCGAUAGCAGCGAGAAGCCACUACCGCCGCCGACUUCGACUCUCUCUGGAUCGACGGGCAGCAGGAGCAUCAAGCCACCGCCGCCGUCGUCCUCUCCUUCCCCAGCCGACAGCGUGGCCGCCCUCGCUGCCCCGAGACAGAGAGCAGCGGUUGGUCGGACCGCCUGCCACCAUCCCAGAGCCGGCGCUGCUGUUGCUGUACAUCUUCUCCAUCGCCGGCUGCCAUCCCAGCCUCUCUCCGCCGCCGCGGCUCGGCCACCAACGAAGGACCACCCACCUCAUCUCCCUCUGUACCCCCCUGUUCUCUCUCCUCCUUGGCAACGACGGAACGCCGCUGCCUCCCUCGGUCUCUCUCUCUCGACCUUCCGGCGACUGCAGCAGCGGUAAGCCGCCUCGCCGUUCUCCCUCACUGAACUCCGGCUGCCACGACCAGCAGCUGGUCGCCGCCGCCCACCCCAAGACUCACGCACACAAGCAGCAACAACAACCAACCGAUUCGACGCCUCAAACUCGAAAGCAAGCUAAAUCAAGAUCAAGACUCCUCUUUUCUUUCUUUCGUUUAUUAACAGACUUGAAAAACUAUUUAGUACUUGCUUAUGCACAUACAUGAAUGUAUAUAUAUAUAUAAAUAUAUGCAUAUAUCUGUGAGAUGAUGAAUAUGGAUUUGUUUCUCUGCUUUAGGCUCAAUUAGCACAGGAAGUAAACUAAUUGAGUUAGAAUUAUAACCUUUUGAUGAGGUUUCGGCUGGUGUUUGUUGUUGUAUUUGUUGUUGUUUACUAAACUUCUGUGAAUGGAGUUCUGUGAAUGGAGUUGUACAAGAAUUUCAGAUGUUGCUUUAUUCAAAAUUUGCAAG